UACCUUUCCAGGAAUAUUUACUGUGCCUUAUAAUUUGGCAACCUGGGCAGCUGCCUGGGAAGCCCAGCCUGGCACUGUGCAUUUAGAUGCUUUGCAAACAAAUGACUUAAAGAUCUGGAUGCUGAGGUGGCCAGAGGGAGUGGAAGAUUAAAUCCACGUGGAGAAAAGCAUUAAGGGCAUCUUUUAUGUUCUGGUAUGCACCUCAGCCAACGGGACUAUGUAAGAAGAUAGUUAUUAAGGAGGACAAGUUAGCUGGGUGGGGAUGGUGGGAAAGGUCAAAAGCAAGAAGAUUCAGGAAAAGUCCAAUUGUCACUUUCUUCACAUCAACUGAAAGCCAAUGGCCUCUCUUCAAAAAUGUCCGUUUAUUAAUCAUCAAGAUUAGGAAAGAAUGGAAAAAAACUUCCCAACUUGGAAUCAUUUUAACCACUGUUUAACUGCGUGAAUGAUUGACAUGACUGUUGUGUAAUAGACUGGUCCCCCAUCCUUGUUUCCAAUUGAGAAAAAUUGUUAAAUACGUUUUAUCGUCAGGACUCAUCAAUGCCUGUGGAUUUGCAGAAACAAGUUCCAACUUUCUGAAGACAAAAUGAGCCUUAGGCUAAGCAGAAAAAUUCUUGGGAGGAGCAGUCAGAUAAAAAAAUACCUCCCCAAAAUAAGUCUAUCUACCGACAAAGAGGUAAAAAUAAAAUAUUUAGAUUCUCUGCCCUUCUAAGGAGACAUUUCUUUCCUUGGCAGUGGCAAACAAUUAACAAAUUUGCCUUAGUUGUUAUCAUGAAAUGUUGGAUCUACUCACUGUAAUAAUCUGUGCCCCAUUCAGAGGAAAAGGAAAGCAAAGUAGGGACACAUCUCCUCUCGUGCUGAAAUUUUGGAGAGAAAAGGAUAAUCUGCUCUGUAUGAGUGUUUUGUCACUUAUUGGCAAUACUAACUAUAUAUUCUACUUUUUCUUUCCAAAUAUGAAACGAACCCCACCCAGCAUAGCUUGAUGAAUUCUAAUGAGGUACGAUUUAUAAUUAUUGAAACACCAUGCAUUACUCAUAGAGACUAAAGUAGUUUGUAUGUCUGUGGAAGUUGUUUGGAUGGAAUGGUAAAUUUCAUUCGGUAGAUAAGCAGGAUUUUGAACAACAUUCCUGUCAGGAAGACCGGUUUGAUCUCCCUGAUGUAGAAGAUAAGGAGUAGGCAACAGAAAGAGAUGUCCAUUACAUUGGAAGAGGGUGCUAAAGAAAGAAGAGGAAGGAGAGUUUGUUCCCAGGUCCAGAAACCUGGUAACAAAAAACUGACCAGUUUUUCUCUCCAUCAAAUUAAACGCUUUCUGUAAUUUUUAUUAUCUAAUCAGAUGAAGUAGGACAUUCCAGCCUAAAAAUCAAUAAAUUACUAUCACCCAAAAUGGGUAACCAAGCAUAAAAUAAGGAUUGUUUGUAUGUUUGCUGUACCCUGGAGUCCACUUCACUGUACACAGAAUGCUUAAGACCUAACCCAGCAUCUGGGAAAAGGGCCCGAAGGGAUCACGUACCACAGUGAUAUAAUGACCUACUUUUCCUUUUUACAGUGGGUUAAAAUUUACAAAGCAUAUUUACAUGUACUUUCUUAUUUUACAUCUUCAGUUAAUCCAAGGUUGUGUGAUUAUUCCUUUUUUACAAGUAAAUAGACCAAGGCCCAGACUGAAUAAUUAGCUUGACUGAAGUCACAUGAUUGAGGCCAUCAGUGGUACCAUUGCCAAGUGUUAGAGGCAGUGCUCUGUCGAAUGUGGAAAAAUCUACGUGGAAGAAAAAACAAACGGUCAUAAUCCAAAAUGCCACAAGCUCAUACUCUGAGGUGCUUCUGGGACUUUCAAUUUGCUUCUAAAAGUGGAGUUUGCCUCUGUUUUUUCCACAUCUUUAUCCUCCUUUGCCAAAUCUAAACCUUAGGGCAGUGGGUGAUGAUAUGACUAAUAUUACUGUCAAUCAGAUGGGCUCAAUUAAUUCAUUAGUUACAUACGUACUUAAUGAUCGGUGAUUAUAUAUAUGUGUAAGUUUAUUAAGGAAAAGGAGGCCAAGAAUAUAAAAUUCCACCAAAAUAUCUUUUUUUUUAGUUUUUAUGUAAAGAUCAAAGACUAAAGUCUUCAGUAUGGAUUAUACCUCAACAUAAAACUGAAAUCCUCACACCUGGACUAGUAAGCAACAUGAUACACAGAGAAAAGACUGAAGUUGUCAAGGAUUUCAUUUUACCUGGAUCCACAAUCAACACCCAUGGAAGCGGCAGUCAAGAAAUCAAAUUAUGUGUUGCAUUGGGAAAAUCUGCAAAAGACCUCUUUAAAGUGUUAAAAAAAAAAAACAAAACAAAGAUGUCACCUUGAGGACUAAGGUGCACCUGACCAAAGCCAUGGUAUUUUCAAUUGCCUUAUAUGGAUGCAAAAGCUAGACAAUGAAUAAGGAAGACCAAAGAAGUAUUGAUGCAUUUGAACUAUGGUGUUGGUGAAGAAUAUCGAGUAUACCAUGGACUUCCAGAAGAACGAACAAAUCUGUCUUAGAAGAAGUACAGCCAGAAUGCUCCUUAGAAGCAAGGAUGGUGAGACUUCAUCUCACAUACUUUGGACAUAUUAUUAGGAGGGACCAGUCCCUGAAGAAGGACAUCAUGUUUGGUAAAGUAGAUGGUCAGUGAAAAAGAGGAAGAUCCUCAACAAGAUGGAUUAACGCAGUGCUGCAAUGAUGGGCUCAAACAUAACAAUGAUGGUGAGGAUGGUGCAGAACUGGGCAGUGUUUUGUUCUGUUGUACAUAGGGUUGCUCUGAGUUGGAACUAACCCCAUGGCACCUGAAAACAACAUAUAACCUGGAAAAUCAACAUCUUGACAACUCCAGUGAUAGUACCAACAUAAGUGAGAUGAGAACCACCAGACUGAAUCUUCCAAGUGUCUUGCAGGUGCUAUUUACAGAUUGCAUGGAUAAAGUCAGGCUUUUAAGCUUGCCCAUGCCCCUUUAAAACUUGACCAUACAAAGGCUGUACACUCUAAUAGUUUUGUUCGAUUCAACUGAGGGAAAAUGAAAGUUGACAUCUCCAAACAAGAAUAGGAUAUUCCAGGCAAGGCCGUGGUCUCCUCUUCCAAGAAGUUGAUAUGCUGUUGUGGACAACACACUGUGUGUUUUUAUCAAUGCUGAGUCAGGCUGGUACUCACCCGCUAAAGGUGUAACUCCAUUACUUGUAGAAAAGUUGUUUUGUAAAGACCAGUCAGUAAGCAUAUUUGAAGAUUUUUCUUGAUUUUUGUGCCUCAGUUUCCUCAUCUGUUAAUUGGUUAGAGGAGGUGGUCUCUAGAGACACCUACUGGUCUAACACUCUAUGAUGCUGUUUUUUUUUCAUUUAUUUUACAAUUUUUUUUUGAUUACCUACACUGAACCAUUCUAUUGGAAUGGAUAACAUUAUGAAGAAUGUUUUAAAAAAAAAAAAGCAAAGAUGUCACUCUGAGGACUAAGUUGCACCUGACCGAAGCCAUGGUAUUUUCAUUCUCCUUGUAUGCAUGCAAAAGCUGGGCAAUUAAUAAAGAAGAUCAAAGAAGAAUUGAUGUGUUUGAAUUACAGUGUUGGUAAACAUUAUCGACUAUUCCAUUGACUGCCAGAAGAAUGAACAAAUCUGUCUUGGAAGAAGUACAGCCAGAAAUACUUCUUAGAAAGGAAGAUGGUGAGAUUUUAUCUCAUGUACUUGGACAUGUUAUCAGAAGGGACAAGUCCCUGGAGAAGAAUGUCAUGCUUGGUAAAGUUGAGGGUCAGUGAAAAAGAGGAAGACCCUCAAUGUGAUGGAUUGAUACAGUGACUGCGACAGUGGGCUUAAACAGUGAUUGUGAGGAUGGCGCAGGAUCGGGCAGUGUUGCCUUCCGUUGUACAUAUGGUCGCUAUGAGUUGGAAGUGACUUGACAGCAUGUAACAACCAGGACACACUGAACUAAGCACUGGGUAUACAGCCAUGAAAAAAUGUAAAAAUUGGCUCUGCCCUUACGAGUCUUACAUUUUAUGGAUGUUGGGGGAAAAGGACACAUACAUUAAAGGACUCAUUACAUAAAUA